rnacentral:rRNA from 1 species
UAACGCGUGGGAAACCUGCCCUGUACCGGGGGAUAACACUUAGAAAUAGGUGCUAAUACCGCAUAAGCGCACGGAACUGCAUGGUUCCGUGUGAAAAACUCCGGUGGUACAGGAUGGUCCCGCGUCUGAUUAGCCAGUUGGCAGGGUAACGGCCUACCAAAGCGACGAUCAGUAGCCGGCCUGAGAGGGUGAACGGCCACAUUGGGACUGAGACACGGCCCAAACUCCUACGGGAGGCAGCAGUGGGGAAUAUUGCACAAUGGGGGAAACCCUGAUGCAGCGACGCCGCGUGAGUGAAGAAGUAUUUCGGUAUGUAAAGCUCUAUCAGCAGGGAAGAAAAUGACGGUACCUGACUAAGAAGCCCCGGCUAACUACGUGCCAGCAGCCGCGGUAAUACGUAGGGGGCAAGCGUUAUCCGGAUUUACUGGGUGUAAAGGGAGCGUAGACGGCAUGGCAAGCCAGAUGUGAAAACCCAGGGCUCAACCUUGGGAUUGCAUUUGGAACUGCCAGGCUGGAGUGCAGGAGAGGUAAGCGGAAUUCCUAGUGUAGCGGUGAAAUGCGUAGAUAUUAGGAGGAACACCAGUGGCGAAGGCGGCUUACUGGACUGUAACUGACGUUGAGGCUCGAAAGCGUGGGGAGCAAACAGGAUUAGAUACNCUGGUAGUCCACGCGGUAAACGAUGAUUGCUAGGUGU